rnacentral:rRNA from 1 species
CGGUAAUAGCUCAAAUUUGAAAUCUGGCUCUGGUCCGAGUUGUAAUUUGUAGAGGAUGUUUCGGGCACGGUUACGGUUUAAAUUUCUUGGAACAGAAUGUCAAAGAGGGUGAGAGUCCCGUCUUGAACCGAUUCUUCGUCCAUGUGAAACUCCUUCGACGAGUCGAGUUGUUUGGGAAUGCAGCUCAAAAUGGGUGGUAAAUUUCAUCUAAAGCUAAAUAUUGGCCAGAGACCGAUAGCGCACAAGUAGAGUGAUCGAAAGAUGAAAAGCACUUUGAAAAGAGAGUUAAACAGUAUGUGAAAUUGUUGAAAGGGAAGCGCUUGUAAUCAGACUUGAGCUUAACAGUUCCCCCUUCGUUCUCGUUGGGUUAUUCUGUUUUGUCCAGGCCAACAUCAGUUCGGGUGGUUGGUUAAAGACUUUAGGAAUGUAUCUACCCCUCGGGGUCGACUUAUAGCCUAGAGUGUCAUGCAGCCUACCUGGACUGAGGAACGCGCUUCGGCUCGGAUGUUGGCGUAAUGGUUAUAAGCGACCCGUCUUGAAACACGGACCAAGGAGUCUAACAUCUAUGCAAGUCUUUGAGUGGAAAACUCGCAGGCGUAAUGAAAGUGAACGGAGGUAAGAAGCCUUUAGGCUGCAUUAUCGACCGAUCUUGAUGUCUUCGGAUGGAUUUGAGUAAGAGCAUAGCUGUUGGGACCCGAAAGAUGGUGAACUAUGCCUGAAUAGGGUGAAGCCAGAGGAAACUCUGGUGGAGGCUCGCAGCGGUUCUGACGUGCAAAUCGAUCGUCAAAUUUGGGUAUAGGGGCGAAAGACUAAUCGAACCAGUAGCUGGUUCAUGCCGAAGUUUCCCUCAGAUAGCAGUAACGUUUUCAGUUUUAUGAGGUAAAGCGAAUGAUUAGAGGCCUUGGGAGUGAAACACUCUUAACCUAUUCUCAAACUUUAAAUAUGUAAGAAGUCCUUGUACUUAAUGAACGUGGACAUUUGAAUGUAU